GCCCCCGUCGUCCAGCGGCCUAGGAUCCCACCCUUUCAAGGUGGUGACGCCGGUUCGAAUCCGGUCGGGGGUACCA
rnacentral:tRNA from 1 species